CCUACGGGUGGCAGCAGUGGGGGAUAUUGCACAAUGGGGGAAACCCUGAUGCAGCGACGCCGCGUGGGUGAAGAAGUAUUUCGGUAUGUAAAGCCCUAUCAGCAGGGAAGAAAGAAGACGGUACCUGACUAAGAAGCCCCGGCUAACUACGUGCCAGCAGCCGCGGUAAUACGUAGGGGGCGAGCGUUAUCCGGAUUCACUGGGUGUAAAGGGAGCGUAGACGGCCGUGCAAGCCAGGAGUGAAAGCCCGGGGCCCAACCCCGGGACUGCUCUUGGAACUGGGCGGCUGGAGUGCGGGAGGGGCAGGCGGAAUUCCUGGUGUAGCGGUGAAAUGCGUAGAUAUCAGGAGGAACACCGGCGGCGAAGGCGGCCUGCUGGACCGCGACUGACGUUGAGGCUCGAAAGCGUGGGGAGCGAACAGGAUUAGAUACCCUUGUAGUC
rnacentral:rRNA from 1 species